UACGUAGGGUGCAAGCGUUAAUCGGAAUUACUGGGCGUAAAGCGUGCGCAGGCGGUUUUGUAAGACUGUCGGGAAAUCCCCGGGCUUAACCUGGGAAUGGCGAUGGUGACUGCAAGGCUAGAGUUUGGCAGAGGGGGGUAGAAUUCCACGUGUAGCAGUGAAAUGCGUAGAUAUGUGGAGGAACACCGAUGGCGAAGGCAGCCCCCUGGGUCAAAACUGACGCUGAGAAGCGAAAGCGUGGGGAGCGAACAGG
rnacentral:rRNA from 1 species